rnacentral:lncRNA from 1 species
UCAAACUCCUCAGGGUGCAAAAAGGCGGUGAACUCCUCCCGAGUGGCUAUCUGGUCACCAUCGAGGUCUGCAGCCUUGAACCUUCUCUCAUCACGUGGCAGCAUCUUUUUAAAGGUGUUAUGAUCUAAAGGAUCUUGAAACUCUUCAGGGUUUCCUGCAAGAUGUGUGCAGAAACAUUUAAACUGGGCUGCUAAGGAAAGCAUUUCCUUCCAGAUCAGUCAUCCUUCAUGCCCAAAUGGUACACACAGGACAAAAAAGGUCCUGACCAAUUGAGUUCUUUGAAGCAUUUUACCUUUAGCAUCUGUCCCUUCAUCCCUCCUGUAAUCUAGGCCCCAACGGCUUAUUGGGGGCAUUAUAGCAAGUGGUUAGGAGUGCUGGCUUUAGGCCUUUCUUCGCAGAACUCUGCUUUCAUAAUAUCAUUCUUUGACCUAGAACACGCACAGGCUCCCUAGUACCUGCAACAUUCUGUCUAGACAUUUCUGUCUGGCCUUCAUAAUCUCCCUUAAUGUAACCACGAGUGUGUGCUCCACCAGCUCUCCUGAGACUUAUCUCCUAGCUCUCUCUACCACGUACCCAGUGGGGCUGCACUCUACGCUCUGCACACGUCCCUCUACCUUCACAAACAAGCAUGUCUUACAUCCAAAGCCUACCCAAGGCUGAAUUCACUGCUGCACCUUUGCUCCUCCAAUGGACCCACCUUCCCCACUUGCCUCUAUCUCUCCAAAUAUAUAUCCAUUUUUCAAGGCCCAGCUCCCAGACCACCCUCCACCAGGAAACCUUCCCUGACUGCUUCAGCUCACUCGGUCCUUGCUGUCUGAAACUUGGCAGCAUUUUGAGACUGUAGCACAGGCACACUUCAUCUCUGCUCUGUUCUCUUUGUCCUUUGUGCCUCUGAGAUUGUAAGCUCAGAUUGGGCAGCAACCUAAGUCACUUUUUAUUGGACCCAGGACCCCUCCUGCUACUCACCACCCACAGCUUCACUCAGGGUAAGGAGCUCUGUACAUUCUUAGUAAGCAGAGGAGGAUGUUAUACAAGCAGGCUCUACUUAGGGGGUUGUGACAUCUCCCGGAGGCAGUAGAUGUGUUGAGAGAGGAGAGGCUCCCGCAAGGAGCUUGUUAUGUGGGCCCCAGCUGUGCAAAUGCUCAGGCAGCACCUCUUACCUAGGUAGUAACCAUAGGUGGCUUGUUUGUAUUCUUCCCAGGAAAUUUUAUCAUCUUUGUCCCGAUCAUAAUCCUUCCAGACUUUAGCGACAUUAUUGUAGAUGUAUCUUCUCUGCACUCGCUUGAUCCAAGUUUUCAGCUCCUCAGUAGUAACAAAGCCAUCCCCAUCACUGUCAAUUCGGUCAACAAUCUUCCUGUAGUUUAAAAAAAAAAAAAACAACCCACAAGGCUAUUAUCAAGGCUUGUGUGAUCCUGAUCCAGAAAAAGAUCAAACACCGCAGAAUCUAAAAUGCAUAAGCAAGUGAAAUAAAAGCAAUGAUCCAAUUGUGCUGGAAAGGAUCUUAAAGUUCAUCUUUUCUGAGGGUAAUAUGCGUCCUCCCCCCAUUGCCAAUGGCAGACACUACCAGCGGACCAUGCCCUCUGUCCUGAUAAACCCAGGCGUGCCUCUGAAUCCUUCUCAACACAACACUGUGCAGGUGGACACCACCAAUUGAUCAGAGUUGAUUGUGAGAUGAAACCCAACAGUUUUCUCCAGAUGCAGUCCAACUCCCUUGUGUUACAGUGAUGGAAACAGAGGCUGAGAGAAAUGAGACGACUUUUCCAAGAUCACACAGCUAGUAUUUAGUAUGACAGGGUAAGAACCCAUGUCUUGUGGCGCUAGGUCUAAUGUAAAAUAAAAUAAAAUAAAAUAGGGGCGCCUGGGUGGCGCAGUCGGUUAAGCGUCCGACUUCAGCCAGGUCACGAUCUCGCGUUCCGUGAGUUCGAGCCCCGCGUCAGGCUCUGGGCUGAUGGCUCAGAGCCUGGAGCCUGUUUCCGAUUCUGUGUCUCCCUCUCUCUCUGCCCCUCGCCCGUUCAUCCUCUGUCUCUCUCUGUCCCAAAAAUAAAUAAACGUUGAAAAAAAAAAUUAAAAAAAAAAUAAAUAAAAUAAAAUAAAAUAAAAUAAAAUAAAAUAAAAUAAAAUUUGAAAAAAAAGGAAAAUUCUAGGUAAACCAGAAGAUAAGCGAGUUCUUUUCUUUUUCUUCUUCUUCUUCUUUUUUAAAAUAUCACCACUUUGGACUCAUACCGACACUUAGAAGACCAGAUCUUGUUGGCCAAAGCAUAAAACGUCAGGGAUGAAAAAGCCUUCACAUCAUGAAAACUAUUCAAGAAGCCUGACCAGCUGAGCCAGCUGCAGGAGCCUACACCCUGCCCUUUGGGCGAAGAUACCUAUGUCUGGGGGGGUCUCCUGCUCCACAGCUAGCCCGGGGUCCAGCGACUGCCCGCUGGACUCUACUGAGGUACCCCCAAACCCCAGUCCAAAGUAAACUUCAGGCUGGGAACUCACCAGUGUCCAUCUCUAGGCCAGAGGGUCCCAAGCUAGAGAUGCAGUCCCUGUGGGGAACUUCAAGGACACCCACAAGCCAUUUCCAAUGCUUAAGAAAGUUCCAGUAGUCCAUUUACCUGGGAUGCAGUCAGCCAGGCUACUUAGGGAUUUAUUUCUUUGCUUAGAGCUGCAGUCUAUCAACUCAGAGGGAAAACUUUCUUACUGUCAACAGAAGUUCUGACAGUUACUCUUUCAUUAAUUAGAAAUGGGGAAGGAAUUUAUUAGUUCGUAUAAAGUUACUGUCUCCUACCUGAACCUGGGGAGCCCGUUUCCCUCUUCCUCAGUAAAGUGUGAGUGCUACAAACAGCUUUCCUGUGUCCCCUCAUUUGCCAUCUUAACAGGUCCCAGAGCUAACAGACUAAGCCUCAAGUAUCCUCAGGCUUCCUUCUAGGGAUUCACAGCCUUUCUGGAUCUCAGUUUGCCUGACUAUAAAUUGGAACACCUGCUUUACAAGGGAUGUUGUGGGGAAUACAGGAGAGAAUGUGUGCCCAGCCUCACUAAGGGCAGCAAUCUAGAUCACAGGUGGAUGGAGAACUCAGCGAACACCCAGCAGGUAACAGAAGUAACAGAAGUGAGCCAAGACUCCAGGUGGAGCCUCAGGCAACCUGGAGAUGCCCAUCUCUGCUCCAGACGAUGAAUGCCACAUGGGAAUAGAAGUCCACGGUGUCAAGAGAAACCAGAAAUCAGGGUCUGUACGUGAAAUCGCUCAGCUUAAAUGUGGGCAAGUAAUUUACAUUUUUUCUAAGAGCUCAUAGCAUGUGCUAUGACUAUGUGACUAUGUGCUAUGCUAUGUGACUGCGUGUGGCCUGUGGGCCUCCGCUCUGCAAGCCCCUUGGCCUAGCUGUCUCCAGAAGCUCUAGAACUGUCACAUUUUCAGAAUCUAAGGUCAGGUGGUGACUGCCUGGAUCCAGCCCAAGCCUGGGGGGGUGGUGCGCAGAGGGGACUGCUGCACCAGGAGCUGUGGGCAGAAAGGUGGCUUUUCAUGUUCCAUCACGUCCCAACCUUCCACCCACUUUCUAGCCUGGAUUUACCUUACAGGUGAGUGUGUGUCCACUGCCUGUCUGGUAGCUCAGGCCAGAGACCAGAUGUCCCCCCAGAGACCACUUCCCCACCCCACGUUAAGUCCAGAGCAAGCACUGACUGUUCUACUUCCCACGUGCCUGGAUUCACAGUCUCCUGCCCUCGGGACUAGCUGUGCCUGGUUAAGGCACUCGUGGCCACUCCCCUGCCCCUGGUCUCUCCAUCUGCGCCUCAGUUAUGUUCUCUGUCCUCCUGCCUGUGUGACAUUACUAACAAGUUUUUGGGAUGGUGACAUUUUGAUUACGUACAGGAUAACACCUAAUCUCUACCUCAAAGAGAUCCUUCCUGCUCUGCUCUUAGGUCCCCUCCCACCUCCCACUUCUGCCCUGUCCCUUUACUGUCCCAACAGCCUUCAUCCCCCAGAACAGGUUUCAAAACUUUUAUAAGCAGGCUGUUUUCAGGAAUGCCUUCCUCUGCUUGUGCACCUGGCAACCUCUGAGCCAUCCCGCAAUCUCUGAUCAGGUGACGUCCCCAAACCCCUAAGCCCCGCUCUCCAACCUGAAGCCCUAGGGGCUCCUUUUCCUGAGUGUGGUCACUCUGGUUUUUACCUGCCGCCAUCAUAGCAAUUACACAUUAGUGUCUGCUUGUGUUUCUCUCCUCUACUUUUAUUUAUUAAAAAAAUUUUUUUUAAUGUUUAUUUUUGAAGGAAAGAGAGACAGAGCGUGAGCGGGGGAGGGGCAGAGAGAGAGGGAGACAGAGUCCGAAGCAGGCUCCAGGCUCCGAGCUGUCAGCACAGAGCCCGACGCGGGGCUCAAACUCAUGAAGCGCGAGAUCAUGACCUGAGCCCAAGUCGGCCGCUUAACCGACUGAGCCACCCAGGCUCCCCUCCUCUACUUUUAAUUAUAAGUACUUUGAGGCCUAGAGCAUAAGGUUUUAUCUUUGUAUCUGCCAAGCAUCUAACACGGUGCCUGGCACACAAUAGCCAUGGAAAUGUUUGUUGCAUGAAUACAUGAACAAAGUUAAGGUGUCCCUACCAGGGCCAAAUGCAGAGCAACUUCACCAGCACUAGCUCUCACCACUAGGCUUAUGGUCAUGAUAAAGGCAUUAAACUGGAAGCUGUUAGGACUGCAAACUGCAGAGUUCCCUACUCCAAAUCCCAAAACCUCCCCUCCUCCUCGUAGGUGACAGUGCUGCCUCUCAGGGUCCCAGAAUAAAUCAGUUUCCAAGUGCUUCAAAGCUAAUACAAUAGACUGAACUCAUCAAUGGCCCCCAUUGUGAAGUCCUGAACAAGAAGAGAAAAGUACUUCUCGGCAAAAUAAAAGGUGAUUGUUUGGAGGUGACUUUGAAGUCCAAAGAUCUUUUUAUCAGGGCGGGCAGAUGGUGCACCCACACAAUAGGUAUAAUUUAGCCUCAUAUCUUAACCAACCACAUUGGCCUUUGGUGGCCCCCUUCAGCACAGGGAUGGCUGUUCUUUUUCAUGUAUCAGGACAGAAAGAUCCUCCACUCCCAGGAAGCAGGUUCCAGGAGGCCUGGUGCCCAGUAGGCAGGGCUACUGGGACCCUCCCCCGCCCAGCCUCCACUUGGGACCAGGCCAUGGCUGCUGAUUCCUCUAUGGAAGGGUUCCCAGAUACCUCUGCACAAUGGCCAAGUGUGUCCCCAGGGGACCCGGAGAGGGUGCACUGAGAUGUACCUAAGUUUUGUUUUCCAGGUUUGGUCCCUGAUUCAACUGCCUUCAACUGUGAAAUUCACAAUCUGCCACCACACCCUCCAGCUUUUUGCCCUCAGUUGCCAAGGGACUGGGUGCCUCCGCAGACAUCUGCUGGAAAGAGAAACUGGGGGACCGGUUUCCAUUCCCACUUCCCACUCCCUAUCCCCUAAUGUCCCUAUCUUCUCACCAAGGUUUGUAUAUCCCCACUUCUACUAUCUCUACUGUUAGGCAGGAGGCAAGAACACCCCUGCCGCGGCCCAAGAACACCCGCCAGGAAUCUACCCUCUCCUUCAUCUGCUCCUUCAGCUUUGAUCCAUUUGUGUUCAUCCUGCAGACCUUCUUAGCAGUGUCACAAAACCUCCACCCCGGGAAUUGGGGGAGAAGAGGGAAACUGGGAAGGUGGGGAAGAACUCAUGUCACUAAAAGGCCACUGUGCACAAACUCUUCUUUUGUACCUACUCUCCCCUCCCUUCUGAUGCAACCGAGGGGAGGGGGAGGGCCCUCGCCGCCCUGGCUCCCGCUGCCGCUGCCACGUUCCUGCCUCCCCGCGGGAAGCCACCCCGGCCCGGGCGCGGCGGCUGUCCCCACGCUUUGGUCCCCGGCCCGCGGGCAAUUCAGCGCGAGCCCGGCCGCCGCAGCACCCGCCGGACCCCGCCCUCCGCCCGCGCGCGCCCGAUUUCGCUUUCGCUUUGCUUUGCGGCGCGCGUCCCGCGUGGCUCCCGCCGGGGUGUCCCCGCGGGCACCUGCGACGCCCCCCAGCGCGGCCCGGACCGCGGCCUCACCCCAGCCUCUCCUUGCUCUCCUCCGAGGUGAGCUGGUCGAAGGUCUUGGAGUCCUCUUUGCCCAGGAAGGCCUCGUGGUCGUACUGGAAGCUCUGGUUGUCCUCGGCCGGCCGCUCGCCCAGCUCCGAGUCGGGCCGCACCACGCGCUCCUUGCGCACCGUGGGUUUGGCCCGCAGCGCCCCGGGCGCCAGCGCCAGCGCCAGCAGCAGCCCCAGGGCGAGCCCCAGGAGGCGGUCGCGGCCNCCGCCACGCGCCAUCGUCAGGACGGGAGAGCGGCCCGCGGGGAGGCACGGAGCGAGCGACGAGGACGGCGACUGGGGAGUGGGGGCUCCCAGCGCGGCGGCGGCGGCGGCAGCGGCGGGGGAGGGGACGGACCCGCCCCGCGCCAGAGCGAAGGGGCGCGCCCCGGGCCGCGGGCAGGGAAGCUUCGGGCAGCCCGGCUCACGCGCCCAUUGGCCGCCGGGCCGCGGGGAGGGGGGGAGGCCGGGGAGGCCGAGCCACGUCGCCAGCCCGGGCGGUGGGCGCGGGGCUCGGGUUUCUCCUCGGCCCCUCCCCGCGAUCUCGUCGCGAGGGGCGGGCCCAGGCGUACUGGGCUAGGGACUCCGGGCUCCUAGGAAGACGGGGAAGUUCUUUGUCAAGCAACAGAUGUUCAGGAUAAAAUUCCCUUUCUCUUCUUCCAGUUAAUGGAGAAUUGAAAGGAACGAGGCGCUGCCCCUCCCCAACUUCCAGCUGGGCGCCUGAACCCCAGCCCUAGACCUCAACCCCCAAGAUGCGCUCUUAAACCAAACUCAUCCCCACUUACCCAAACUUGGAGUCUGGUUACAAACACAAGAGGCUGGAAAGAAACCUGGGUGGCUGAGGUCCACUAGAAACGAGGGCGCAAACCCAAAUGUUGGGGAGGGCCCAACAAGUAGAUAUGACGAGGGGCCAGCUAAACUGAGCGGUCCUGUAUAUGCCAGCUGCCAGGAGUGCAGACCCCAACCUGGCAGAUAGUCCCGUUACCUACCCCGCCAAAUCAGGAUUUCAGAGGUCCAUGUUUCCAUUUCUGAACCACGGUAACUCAUUUUACAAAAACACUGCGCAAUUCAAACAAAUCUUGCCUAUACAUUGAAUGCUGGGUAAUGCUACCAAUAUAGAGAAGUUCUGUAGAACUUUCUGCAGCCAUAAAAAUGUUCUAUCUCUGGGCUGUCCAAUAGUGGGUAUUGAGACACUUGAUAUGUACCUAGUGUAACCAAGGUUUUGAAAUUUUAAUUUAUGUUCAAACUUAAAUAGCUACACGUGGCCAGUGGUUGUCAUGCUGGAUGGUACAGGUGUAGAGCAAUGACUCUGUGUCAUAGCCUUUUGAGACUCAUUGAAAACCAAGGGCCUCCUUCCAGGAAAAUGUGCAUAUAAUUACUGACAUGAAUGUUUGGUUAAAGUUUCAGGAUGUUCAUGGAUUGUCUGAAGGCCUACUCUUGUGCCUCAGGUUCAGCAUCCCUAGAAAAUUAAGCCUGUGGUUGAAGAGAAGAGCCCCCUGGACAGAGGUACUCCUGGAGCAUUUCCUUUAUCUUGUUCUGUCUCCCCAUCCUGAUAGUCUAGAAAAGGUCACUGGGCUGUGCCUCUUGCUCUUGUAAGAAGGAUGCCAGGACAUUAUUGGCAUAGAUCCAAGUACCUUUUUUAUGAGGACUUCUUUCAAUCAAUUAAUGAAUAAUUAUUGUAUGCCCAUCAUGGCCUAAUUACUGGCCUGGGUGAUGAGGGUACGAUGCAGGAUAAGACCUUCAUGGUGUCUGCAGCUACAGGGUUUGUGAAUAGAUCAUUCAUUCAUUCAUUCAUUCAAUAAACUAAGCACCUGUUAAAUGUCAGGGCUGUGAUGGGUACUGGUUUACCAAGUAGCAAAUCAGUGUGAUAAGUGCUGCGGGGGAGGGCAUUCAGUAUUAUGGGGGUACAUCAGAGGGACAGAACCCAGAUUUGGGGAUCCACUGGGGAAAGCCUCCUAGAGAAAGGGACAUCUAAACAGAGACUGAAGGUAGGUGGGUUAAGCCAGACAGCAGGGGUGUGGUUAUAUGAGGGGAGAACAAGGUUCUGUGUGAGCUGGCACAGAGCAGAGGAGUUUGAGGUAUUAUCCUGGUGAUGCUGUACAUCCCCAUCUGCCCGCAGUGAGAUGCAGGGAUGUAGUCCUCGGUGCCUCACCAAACCUGAGCUGACUUUUCAUGGGACAGGAAGUGUGGUGCUUGAGACCAGAUGUAUUUCCCACCGCUGGUACAGAGGCUUGAAUUUCUAGCAAUAGAGAAACGUUACUCUGGGUGUAUAAGAGCUCUUUAUUAAAAUGCAAGGGCCCUGAGUAGGUGGCUUUGUACCUUCAGUGCUCAUCACACAAGCAGGAUGUGAAUUGAGUAGGGGGGGAGAAAGAGGAGUGGGAAGAGGCACAGAAAGAUCAAGAGGAGGAGGAUUAGGAAGGGAAUAGGAAAGUGGGUGGGGAUUGGAGAUAGUCUUUGCUUUGCUUAUUCACAGCUUUGCCACAGGCAGGCUGGGCCCCUGGGAUUGAUCCAGACUCUCAGGAUUGAGGACAGCACAUCCUUUGCCCUAUCCUAGUUGGCGUUCUGCCAGACACUAGUGCUUUCCAAUAGUUAGAUUGUUCCAGAGGUAAUCUUGGCUCCUGUGAGAAUCACCAGAGAAUUCCAGCACUGCUGUAAACCCGGAAGAGCUUAUAUAAUUUCCCCUGGGAUGGCACACACUUUUUCUGUUUCUUUUGAUGGAAACUAAAAUGUCAAAAUAACUAUUCCUCCCAUCCCCCGCUACUUGUUAAAAGACCUUAUUUAUUUGGAGUUUAGGUUUUCUUUACCAUUUCAAAAACUCAAUUUAUUUAAAGUAAAACAACAACAACAACAACAACAAAAGAAAACAGCUCACCCACAGUGAGCCCCACAUCAGGCAUCCCAAGUUUUACAACAUACACUUGAGAGACAAGCCUGCAAAACAUUUAACUUUGAAAACCAAUGGGGCUCGCAUCCCAAGACCCACAAGACUGGGAGUGAGCUGAGAAACUGCUCUUCAAGGGCUCAAGGGCUCAGGCUCAUCAGCUUCUGGGUCCAGCUCAGGAAUGGCUGGUUGCACCCAGACUUUAAGUGAAGGGGGUUCACAUCUCUAUAUGAAAGCAUCCCAGAGCACCAGAGUCUCCCAGAAGGGAGCUUUUACACACAUGUGGUGCCUGAGUUUUGUGGCUGUGGCCUGGGACUCUCUUGAUCACGUGGCUCUGAAGACCAGGGAGCUUGCGACCCUUGUCCCGUGGAACCAUAAUAAUUGGUGUCACCAUCAUAGGCCCUAUCUGGUGCACCAAUUUUUGUGGCUACUGCUGGGGGGCACUUCUACAUCACCUAGCUCUGGUGGCCAGCAGGACUUACGCUAGUGGGUCCCACAGGACUAUGAACAAAGGAGACAGAGUUCUUAACCAGCUGACACCCCAGGGAAGAAAGAGCAAGAGUAGACAGACCCAGAAGCUCAGUCUUUUCUGUGAAAGAGGCGUAUUAGCUAAUCAUCAUCAGACUGAGACUUUAGGGGCAACGUUCUAAUUAAACAGGCAUCUAGGUGCUAACUGCGAUCCUUUCCAGAGAACUCUGAGGGUAGGCUCUAUCUUUAGUCUCACCUUCUGUUGCAAUCCAAAGUGCCAGUGUCUUCCUGGAGGGUGCCCAUGUCUGGUGCCCCAUUUUGGUGGCUGUUGCCAGGGGACACAUUUACAUUGCUUGGCUCUGGUGGCCAGUAGGGCUUAUGCUGGUGAUCCCACAGGACUAUAUAUAUUUGCACACUUUUUUAAAAAUGUUUUUUAAUGUUUAUUCACUUUUUUUUGAGGGGGGGGUGCAAGCGGGAAGGGGCAGAGAGAGAGGGAGACAGAAUCCGAAGCAGGCUCCAGGCUCUGAGCUGUCAGCACAAAGCCUGAUGCAGGGCUCGAACUCACGGACCGUGAGACCAUGACCUGAGCUGAAGUCAGAGGCUUAACCGACUGAGCCACCCAGUGCCCCUAUAUUUGCAUACUUUUAAAAGCUGUUGCCCGAGGGUUUGGUUUCCAGUAAGUCUGAAUCUAACUGCUGAGAUCCUCCCCCUUUGAGAUACUGACAAGUCUUGGUACAUCCUCAACCAUUGGGAGUCAUUAAAUAUAUAAUAGCCUCCUUGGACAUGCACAAAGGUUUAAAAGACAACAAAGAACUGAGGCAGGGUUGAGUGAUAAGGUUCAUCUCCUACACAAGGCUACUCCUUGUGUAGACUGGGAGAGGGGACUGUUUUAUCUACUAGAUAGAAACCAACACAGGGAAUCCGGCAAAAUGAAGAAAACAGAAGUAUAGGUUCCAAAUGAAAGAACAAACUAAAAACUCAGAAAAAGCUGUAGUGAAGUGGAGAUAAGGAAUUUAUACUUAUCUCUGAUAAAGAAUGCAAAGUAAUGGUCAUAAAGAUGCUCACCAAAUGGGGGAAGAACAGAUGAUCACAGUGAGAACUUCAACAAAGAGCUGGAAAAUGUAAGAAAGUACCAAACAGAUGCCACAAAGCUCAAGAAUACAAUAGAUGAACUGAAAUAUACACUAGAGGGGUCAACGGCAGACUAGAUGAAGUAGAAGAAAGAAUCAGUCAACUCAAAGACAGAGCAGUGGAAUUCACCCAAACAGAGCAGCAAAAAGAAAGAAAGAAAGAAAAAAGAAUAGAAAAGAGUGGAGAUCCCUUAAGAGACUUUAGGAACAAUGUCAAAUAGAGUAACAUUUUCAUUAUCGGUCUCCCAGAAGGAGAAGAGAGAGAAAAAGGGGCAGAAAUCUGAUUUGAAGAAAUAAUGGUUGAAGCUUCCCUAACUUGGGGAAAGACAUAGAUGUCCAGACCCAGGAAGCCCAGAGAAUUCCAAAUAAGAAGAACCCAAAGAGACCCACACUAAGACACAUUACAAUCAAAAUGUCCAAAGUUAAAGACAAGAAGAGGAUAUUAAAAGUAGCAACAUAAAAACAACAUGUUACAGGGGAAUCCUCAUAAGAUUAUCAGCAUAUUUUCCAGCAGGAAAGUAGCAGGCCAGAACGGAGUGCUGGAAAACAAACAAACAAACAAACAAACAAACAAACAGCAAGCCAAAAAAACUUCCAAAUGAGAAUUUGGAAGUUAUCAUUCAGAAGUGAAGGAGAGAUACGGUGUUUUUCAGACAAACAAAAACUAAAGGAGCUCACCAGUAAACUGGCCUUAUAAGAAAUGGUAAAGGGCCUUCUUUAAGUUGAAAAGAAAGGAUGCUAAUUAGUAACAAGAACACACAUGAAAUCACAAGCCAGCAAGUUUACCAGAGAGAACCCAGAAAAGAGACAGCUAGGUGCCUCCUGGGGUCAGAACCACCUCAAAUACUGAUCCCAAAAAACUUUGGCAAGGAUUAUGAGUUUAAUGGGAUCGGACUGGGGAGCUGUCUUUGCCCCAGGACAUUGUCUAAAACUAUAGAGCAAUUAGCUGGCAAUUAGUGGUGUCUAAAUUUGGUUGUGACCCAGGAAAUAGUCAAAGAGAGCUCUCUUUAAACCACUGUCACUCCAGGGUGACAGUGACUGCGUGCAUGUCUAAGGCAGCACUUCCAAAGGAGCAAUGCCACAGCCUUCACAAUGUGGAGGAAGAGGCUUCUCUAAGAGAGUCUAGCCAGUUCCUAAGCAAAUAAACAAGCAAACAACAAGAAGACCUGGAGGAGGAAGACGAGUAUCUGGAGUUGUGACAGUACGUUAUCUAAAAUAACCAGUUUUCAAAAAAAAAAAAAAAAAAUUACAAGACAUUCAGGGGCGCCUGGGUGGCUCAUUCAGUUGAGUGUCUGGCUCUUGAUUUCGGCUCAGGUCAUGAUCCCAGGGUGGUGGGAUCGAGCCCUGCAUUGGGCUCUGUGUUGAGCAUGGAGUAUGCUUGGGAUUCUCUCUCUCCCCCCACCCUCCAGCCCCUCUCCCCUGUUUGCACUCUCUCUCUCUCUAAAAUAAAAAAAAAAAAAAUUAAAAAUUUUUAAUGUUUAUUUGUUUAUAUAGAGAGACAGAGCAUGAGCAGGGGAGGGGCAGAGAGAGAGGGAGACACAGAAUCUGAAGCAGGCUCCAGGCUCUGAGCUGUCAGCACAGAGCCCGACGCGGGACUCAAACUCACAGACCACGAGAUCAUGACCUGAGCUGAAGUUGGACACUCAACCAACUGAGCCACCCAGGUGCCCCUAAUUUUUUUUUAAUUUAAAAAUUAUAAGACAUUCAAAGAAAUAUGAAAAUAUGACCCAUAUACAGGGAAAAAAAUAUAGGCAACAGAAAUGGCCACUGAGAGGAACCAUAUCCUGUAGCCAAUCAACCAGGAAUCCUGUAUCCAGCAAAGCUGCCUCUCAAAAGUGAUAAUGAAAUAAAGGCAUGCCCAGAUAGGUAAAAAUAGAGAAUUCAUUGCUAGUAGAUUUACCUUACAAGAAACAUUAAAGGAAGUUCUUCAGGCAAAAAGCAAAUGACUUAAGACAACAAUUCAAAUACACACACACGUGUGCACACACACACACACACACACACCCCUACAUGAGCAUCAGUAAAGACAAUAAUGUAAUUAUAAAAGACAGUAUAAAUGCAUAUUUCUUCUCACAACUGAUUUUAAAAUGUGUAUGUAAAAUAUGUGUCCAGUUGUAUUGUUAGGCCUAUGACAUAUAGAUAUGUAACAUAUUUGGCAAACAAUAUAAAGGCAGUGGGUAGGAACAAAGCUAUAUUGGGCUAUAUUAGACCAGGUGAUAAAUCAAAUCCAUAGGACAAAUGAAAAGAACCAGAAAUGGCAAAUAAAAGGUAAACAUAACAAAAGCUACAAAUAUAUGUUUGUUCUUUCUUUUCUCAGCUCCUUUAAAAGACAUAAAAUGAUACAAAGUAAUAAUUAUAACAAUGUAUUGUUGAAUUUGUAACAUAUAUAUAGAUGUAAUACAUGUAAAAAUAAUAGCCCAAGGUGGGGGAAGAGAACGGUUAUAUAGAAUUAACAUUUCUAUAUUUCAUUGGAAUUAAUAUCUAAAGUAGAUUCUAAUGAGUUAAGAUGUAUAACAUAAGCCUUAGCACAAGGACUAAGGAAGUAGCUCAAAAAAUAUACAGGGAAAAAAAUCAUUAAAGGACUGAAAAUGUUCAUUAGAAAACAUUCACUUAAUGCAAAAGAAAGCAGUAAAAGAGGACUAGAGAAACAAAAAAGACAGAAGGAAAACAUCACCAGCUAGAAAUCUGGCUGAACACACAGAAACAAAAUGCACCAGAAAUGGUUCACCUGAAAGGAUAAAUAUAUAAGACAUUUUUCUUAUUAUUUAAAAGAUAAAAAAUGUACCUGAUGGCUCAAACAAACAUAAUAACAAUGUAUUUUGGGGUUUAUAACAUGCAUACGUGAAGCCUAUAAUAACAACUGUAUGUAGGAUAUAGGACCCGAGAAGAGAAAUGGAAGUCCACUGUUCCAAGGUUCUUAUAUUACACAUGAAGUGGUGUAUUAUCACUUGAUGUAGACCAUGAUAUAUUAAAGAUUAUGCUGUAAGGCUUAAUUCCAGUGGAGUAGGAAUUAAUCUGAGCCAUUUUGCUAAUGUUUCUGCAUCGUAAACAUGACCCCUAAUCAAGUCAUGAAACACACUCCAUCGUAGUAUUGCCUUGAAACCAAGGGUCUGAGAAACUUGGGUGCAAGUUUUACAACUUUGUACCAUCAUUUAUUGGGACUCCUGGAGGAAUCUGCCUCCAUGUAGCAAGAAUAUAUAUGGCUACAUGAGUGGCGAGGUGCCCUUUGGGGCUGCUUAUUUCUGAGGAGUUCUGUAUACACACAGUGGUUCCUGAUCCAAGAGAUAAAUUGUAUUCGGCUGUGGUCCUUAUAGAAAGCAGGGCAAUAGAAGACCCUUCUGACCUUUCCAAACCCAUCACUAUGGUGUGAAACAUGCAUGUCUUUUCUUUAAUGUUGUUAUGUAUACACACACACACACACACACACACACACACACACACACUAUAGCUAUGUAAAUAUUGUAAUUUUUGGUUCCAUGAGUCUUAAUCUUUAGCAGUCAACUCUUCAACUUCCAUUGUUAAUGUGAAGUAUACUCUAAACCCUAAAGCAACACAAAACCGUGAAAGCAAAGAGUUAAAUGAUCCAACAAAGGUCAUAGAAUAGUCAUAAAAAGUACUCAACUGCGACACCUGGGUGGCACAGUCAGUUAGGCAUCCAACUUUGGCUCAGGUCAUGAUCUCGUGGUCCAUGGGUUUGAGCCCCACGUUGGGGUCUGUGCUAUCAACUCAGAGCCUUCUUUGGUUUCUGUUUCUGGAGCCUGCUUUGGUUUCUGUGUCUCCCACUAUCCCUGCCCCUCCCAAUGUCACAUUCUCUCUCUCUCUCUCAAAAAUAAAUAAACAUUAAAAAAAUUUUUUUUAAGUACUCAAUUAAUCCCAAAGCAGGCAGA